CGGAGCGUAGCUCAGCUUGGUAGAGCACCAGCUUUGGGAGCUGGCCGUCGCAGGUUCAAAUCCUGUCGCUCCGACCA
rnacentral:tRNA from 2 species